rnacentral:misc_RNA from 1 species
AGUGUCGGAAGAAGCACAGCUAUGUCUGCCCCACUUAUGAAGCAACCGGAUCCUGUCCUCAAGGAUCCAAAUGCAAGCUUCAUCAUCCCAAAAAUAGAAGCAAGGGAAAGAAAAGCAAGCAAUCACGAGAGAAGAAGAUUGACCAAGGGCGGUACUUUGGUUCAACGCAUAUAAAUGUUUCUGAACCUGGAACUGCAGUGUCUGAAACACACUCAGCACAAGAUAAUUCUAAGAUUUGCUUUGAAGGAAGCAUUGCUGAUUAUAUGAUUCUUGAUGUUGCUGAUGCAGUCGCAGAAAAUAUCAAUUUAGCUGAUGAGCAAACAUCCUUUAGUGAGGGUGACCCUUUGGACUUAAAAUUAGUUGAUCCUGAUGAGCUAAUUAAACCAAUUCGAAUAAUGACCACCC